CCAGAGCCUGAAUCAGUGUGUGUGUUAGUGGAAGCGUCUGGAAAGGCGUGCGAUACAGGGUGACAGCCCCGUACACAAAAAUGCACAUAUUGUGAGCUUGAUGAGUAGGGCGGGACACGUGGUAUCCUGUCUGAAUAUGGGGGGACCAUCCUCCAAGGCUAAAUACUCCUGACUGACCGAUAGUGAACCAGUACCGUGAGGGAAAGGCGAAAAGAACCCCGGCGAGGGGAGUGAAAAAGAACCUGAAACCGUGUACGUACAAGCAGUGGGAGCACGCUUAGGCGUGUGACUGCGUACCUUUUGUAUAAUGGGUCAGCGACUUAUAUUCUGUAGCAAGGUUAACCGAAUAGGGGAGCCGAAGGGAAACCGAGUCUUAACUGGGCGUUAAGUUGCAGGGUAUAGACCCGAAACCCGGUGAUCUAGCCAUGGGCAGGUUGAAGGUUGGGUAACACUAACUGGAGGACCGAACCGACUAAUGUUGAAAAAUUAGCGGAUGACUUGUGGCUGGGGGUGAAAGGCCAAUCAAACCGGGAGAUAGCUGGUUCUCCCCGAAAGCUAUUUAGGUAGCGCCUCGUGAAUUCAUCUCCGGGGGUAGAGCACUGUUUCGGCAAGGGGGUCAUCCC
rnacentral:rRNA from 1 species